GGUGAUUUGUUUAUGUAUGAGAAGAAGCCAACACUAGAAAGGUCAGGACAAAAAGGAAAAUAUAUCACAAUGCAAAACACAAACUUACAGCAGAGUGCCAUCACAAAAUUUCAAGAAACAAGGUUGUUUUCAACCAACUUCAUCAAUACUAUCCCUGACAUCUCUGACAGGGGGAGAAAGUAGCUUGAAUGCUGCACAGAAUCACUGAUAGCAAUGAUUAACAAUUGGAUGUUUGGUAAAUCCUGCUGUUCCAACACGAUUCAGAAUAGCCAGGUUAUCACAUUUUGUAAAUAGUGUUUUUCAAUCUUAAUAACUAAGGCUGCACAAACCACAACAGAUCAAAAAGCUUUUACAGACUGAACAAUGUUAAGUUAAGGAUCUUUCUUCCUUCUUAAGCAAGUUAGAUAACAGCCAUGCCAAGAUGAGACUCGUUAAAGCGAACCUCCCCUUACAAUGCAGACUGGUUUUACCUAUAUUAGAUAACAUUGGUAUUUAGUAACUAUUUGCCUGCGAACUGAAAGAAAGCUCUAGUGUCUCUCAAUGAAGACUUUCGAUAGUGACUUACGUUAACUUUCGCUAACCUUAUUAACCUUAUUUCAGAGGCUUAUUGGCUAACCUUAACAACUAAAAUCGAUAAAGCUUCCUCGAAGCACUUCUUGUGCGUCUUGUACUUAAUUUAAUUAACUUUAAAAGCUAACGGUAACGUUACCAACGCAGGCCACCACAUUUAACGUUAAUAAAUGGGAUUAUAACAAAACAAGCGCUGACUUCAUUGAAGUUCCGCCUAUUUCGCAGUCAGGGAGACAAACAUUGAAAAUGCACAUGUCUGCCUGUGCUGCAGGAGCUGAUGUGUCACGUGAUGAUGUUCAGGAAGGACUCUGUGCUCAACAUCCUCAGUGAGACACUCUCAGAUGACACCUGUCCUCACGUCUUCCACCUGUGUCCACCUGUCCUCACGGCGUCUUCUUCUUCAUGUGUCCACCUGUCCUCGCGGCGUCUUCUUCUUCAUGUGUCCACCUGUCCUCGCAUCUUCUUCAUGUGUCCACAGUUUAGUCUCUAGACUGGGAGAGCAGUCCUGCCCCCAUCCUGCAGCACAUUAAAUAUAAAGAACACCCGGUGGCCUUGUCCUGUCUGCUGCUGCUGCUCCAGAGAGAAGUACGACAGGAACACACCUGGACACUCGUCUCCUGGGUCCCUGUUAACAUCUCUGUCUGUGUUCCAGGCCCAGUGAGGAGAUGGCGAAGAUGGUCCUGAGUCGUCUCUGUCACCCUGAGGGCCAGUUCACCACCAGCAUCCUGAAACACUGGGCGUCCAAUCACGAGAACACGCUGAGAGAACACAUCAGAUUUUAUUCAGCUCAAGAUUCAAGUUAUUACCACUUAACACCAAAAAAUCUCAUUAAGAAUCUGGAAAUAGAGAAUGUUCAACAUUAUUGCAAAAAAGAAUGAAAACAAAUUGAUUAUCAAAAUUGUUGCUGGUUAAUUAUGUGAUCAAGCAGUCAAUUCCUUUGUCGAUUCAGCUUAAUGCAAGAUGUGCCUAAUUUUUGCCUAAUGUAGAAAUGAAGAUGAUGUUUAAGGUUUUGAUACUAAUAAAGAGAACUUGAAUUGUAA